rnacentral:lncRNA from 1 species
AAGAAAAGCCACCAGAAUCACCUACGCUCAGAGGAAUUUCUUGAACUGUCAUGCUCGCUAGGCGAAGCCCACGUGUUUUAAAAAAAACGAAAAAAAACGAAAAAUAAAUAAAUAAAUAAAUAAAUAAGAUAUAACAGAAAUUUUUUGGACUUGGGCCUCUCUCAUUUGAGCCCACAGGUCCACAAAAAUCAGGUUAUAAAUUCAGAGUUUCAGUGAAAC